CCGUUGCCGGCGACCGGCGCACGGGUGAGUAACACGUAUGCAACCUGCCCGUGGCAGGGGGAGUAAGCGGGGGAAACCCCGUCUAAUACCGCGUAACGCGGCCUAGGGACAUCCCAAGGCCGCCAAAGGGAGCAAUCCCGGCCACGGAUGGGCAUGCGGCGCAUUAGCUAGUCGGCGGGGUAACGGCCCACCGAGGCGACGAUGCGUAGGGGUUCUGAGAGGAAGGCCCCCCACACUGGUACUGAGACACGGACCAGACUCCUACGGAAGGCAGCAG
rnacentral:rRNA from 1 species